UCCGGCUUAACGCCGGCAGUCUCGCUAGAGUUCCCGGCAUGACCCGCUGGCAACUAGCGAUAAGGGUUUCGCUCGUUAAGGGACUUAACCCGACACUUCACAGCACGAGCUGACGACAGCCAUGCAGCACCUGUGCACGUUUCACCCGAAGGCAGCCUACUCGCCUUUCAGCAAGAGCAUCCGUACAUGUCAAACCCAGGUAAGGUUCUUCGCGUUGCUUCGAAUUAAUCCACAUGCUCCACCGCUUGUGUGAGCCCCCGUCAAUUCCUUUGAGUUUUAGCCUUGCGGCCGUACUCCCCAGGCGGCGCACUUAACGUUUUUAUUCCGAUACGAGCAACGUCAGAGCUCCUCGUAUCUAGUGCGCAUCGUUUACAGCGUGGACUAC
rnacentral:misc_RNA from 1 species